rnacentral:rRNA from 1 species
UACAGAGGUGGCAAGCGUUGUUCGGAAUUACUGGGCGUAAAGGGCGCGUAGGCGGUCUUGCAAGUCCUGUGUGAAAUCCCUCGGCUCAACUGAGGAACUGCACAGGAAACUGCUUGGCUUGAGUUCGGGAGAGGGAAGCGGAAUUCCGGGUGUAGCGGUGAAAUGCGUAGAUAUCUGGAGGAACACCGGUGGCGAAGGCGACAUCCUGGACCGGUAUUGACGCUGAGGCGCGAAAGCCAGGGGAGCAAACGGG